UCCGCAUCAGCUGGGGCUGGCUUUGUUUAAAAAAAAAAAAAAAGAAAAAAGUUUCUGAACAGCACAGGUUAUGAGGGAGACAAGGUCCCCAUUUUCAGGGGGUGCUCAUGUCCAGUAGUUUUGUGUCUUCUGCAGCAGAAGGUUAGAUCCAGGAGGAUGACACCCAGGUGGCAAGUUGCUUGCCUUCCUCCUAUGUUUUUCUCUCUUUUCUAAUAUGUUGGCCAACACACACCGUCUCUCUGACUCUGUCUGUCUCUCUCUGUCCUUACCUUUCCUUGUGCCAUCUCCCUUCAUAGGACACAGGCAGGGGUGCUCAGUGUGCAUCCCCCCCAGGCUAGGUCUUGGGAGCCAUGGAGCAGUAGGAGCGGAGAAAAAUCAUGAGGGGCAGUGAGCACUAAAGUGGAGCGGUUACUGUCUGCUUUUACCCAGUCUCUGUUCAUCGAGUCAGCCUGAGUUUGCGGCGGAAUCGUCCAGGAGCCCUCACCGGAGGAGAAACUGGCAAAGGUUGAUCUGAGCUGCCUGGACUUUAUUCUAAGGAGACAUGAACAGUCCUCAGCUUUCUGCCUCUCAUGGAAAAGAAAUCUCGCGUCAGAGUCUGCUGUCCUCAUGCGAUGGAAAGUGAGUGAGAGCGAUGGGACUGCGAGAGUUAUUGAUGCCACGCAAAAGCCGUCCAACCGGGAUCAGAACAGCUGCCAGUGAGAUAAGUGUCUGUUUUGGUGAUUGCUGUGCUCAUGGCCCACCUUGCUCCUGGUAGGGACGUCCCGUUUGCUGGGGCUGUGUUUGUAAGAAAAUGUUUUUGAGUAGCUGUGGUUGAGAGAGACAAGGUCCCCAUUUUCAGGGGCUGCUCAGUUUUCUGGCCAGUAGCGGUGUGUCCUCCGCAGCAGAAAGAUCUAGGAGGAUGAGUCAAGGUGGCGAGUUGCUUGCCUUCCUCCUGUGUUUCUGUCUCUGUCCUCUAGUAUGUUGGCUAACACACACACCCUCUUUCUAUCUUUACCUUUCCUUGUGCGGUCUCCCUUCGUAGAACACGGGCAGGUGUUCUAGGUGCACAUCUCCAUAGGUUAGGUCUUGGGAGCCCUGAAAUAGUAGGAGUGGAUGAAAACCAUGUGGGGCAGUGGGCGCUAAAGUGAAGCAGUGACUGUCGGUGUUAACUUGGUCUCCGUUCAUCGAGUGGGGCCGAUCUAGAUGGGAUGGGAGAGGGAGGCAGGAUGAGAGCAAGAUUUCAAGCACCAUUAGAGCUUUGUGUUGUGAUGGUUCAUGCUUGGCUUUUGCAGCUGCUCUUGCAGAGGAAUUGUCCAGGAGCCCUCGCCGGAGCAGAAACUGGCAGAGGUGCAUCUGAGCAGCCUGAACAUCCUUCUAAGCAGACACGAACAGUCCUCGGCUUUCUGCUUCCUGCAUAACUGGCUUACCAAGGAAAAACAAGUCACACGUCGGAGUCUACUGCCCUUGUGCGAUGGAAAGUGAGUGAGAGCAGCGAGCCUGUGAGCAUUGUUCAGGCCAGGCAAGAGCCGUCCAUCUGGGAGCUGAGCAGAGGCCACUGUCACUGAGAUAAGUGUCUG